CGUAGGUGGCAAGCGUUGUCCGGAUUUAUUGGGUUUAAAGGGUGCGUAGGCGGUCCUAUAAGUCAGUGCUGAAAUAUCCCGGCUUAACCGGGAGGGUGGCAUUGACACUGCAGGACUUGAGUAAAGUUGAGGUUGGCGGAAUUGACGGUGUAGCGGUGAAAUGCUUAGAUAUCGUCAAGAACACCGAUAGUGAAGACAGCUAACUAAGCUUUAACUGACGCUGAGGCACGAAAGUGUGGGGAUCAAACAGGAUUAGAUACCCUGGUAGUCCACACUGUAAACGUUGAUUACUCGAUGUUGGCGAUACACAGCCAGCGUCUUAGCGCAAGCGAUAAGUAAUCCACCUGGGGAGUACGCCGGCAACGGUG
rnacentral:rRNA from 1 species